GUCUCUACUAAAAAAACAAAAUUAGCCAGACAUGGUGGCACAUGCCUGUAAUCCCAGCUACUCAGGAGGCUAAGGCAGGAGACUCGCUUGAACCCAGGAAGCAGAGGUUGCGGUGAGCCGAGAUCAUGCCAUUGCACUCCAGCCUGGGCAACAAGGGCAAAAACUCCAUCUCAGAAAAAAAAAGCUGCUUAUAUAAUCAAGAGAUUAAAAAUGGACAAUCUGUACAAGUGAUAUAGACAUCCCUUCUAGAUUGUUUAUAAAACAAUUAAGCACUUUGUUUAUGGAAAAUGAGAGAUCUGAAAAGUACAAGAAAACUGCUCUGUCCCCAGCUCACAGCAGCUGUGAAGAGAACCUCCCUUCUCAGUAACAGGCACAAUUUGUCUUCAGAUUUCUGCUGCCUAUAUAUUUGACACUCAUUAUUUACACCUCUACAAUCUAAUGGACAUCACUCCUUCCAUAAUUAACCAGUUUGAUAGUUACUGAAGAACAAAUUACAAUUGAACUGCUAAGACUACCUGCAAAAACAGAAAUAAAAACAAAAAAAACCCUAUUUCAUGUAAGUAAUCACUUGAUACACUGAAAACUGCUGUUAUAACUUGAGACUGUUAUUGUUAGAAAGUUAGCAUCAGGGCUGAGUGUGCACAUUAAUAUACUUCAACUUUGUCCCCAACCACUGCAACCAUUAGCAAGGUCAUUUACUCUCUCCGGAGCCUCAUUUCUUUCUAUACAAACCUGAAAUGUAAAAGUCUAACCUUUCAAUGCCCUGUGCUUAAAUGUCAAAUGGGGAAUAGUACCAGGAAAGUAUAUCUUUUUAUCAUUAUUAAAAUCCAAGGUGCCCUUGUGGAAGCAGCAAAAUGGAGUAGAUUGAAACUUUUGGGCCAACUGAAAUUUCCUAUAACACCACAAAUCCAUUGAAACAAAUAAGUAGACCAGUGGAAAUGAAAUCGUAACACUUGUUGCUGAUUCAUUUAAGAGAAAGAUAUGAGCUAGCCUUACAAUUGGGUUUCAUGUAAUACAACUGUCAAAUGCCCUGUAGUCCCAGUUACUUGGGAGGCUGAGGGAGAAGGAUCGCUUGACCCCAGAGUUCAAAUCGUUUGGGCAACAUAGAAAACUUUGUCUCUUAAAAACAAAUUGUCAAAAGUUUUCUUUAUGAAAAAUAUUAAAUCAUCAGGCUUUUUAAAUGAUAUGAUUUUUAGAUUAAGACAAGUUAUGUAACUUCUGGACAACCAUGAAAUAAGAUAUUAUUACUGAUAAACUUCAUAGCAAUGUUAAAAGACCACAUUUUGAAAAAUACAGGCAUAUCUUGGAGAUAUUGCAGGUUUGCUUCCAGACAACUGUAAUAAAAUGUUUAACACAAUAAAGGGAGUCACACAAUUAUUUUUAUUUUCCAGUACCUAUAAAAGUUAUGUUUAAUCUAUAUUAUAGUCUAUUAAGUUUGCAAUAGCAUUAUAUCUGACAAUGUACAUACUUUAAUUUAAAAAUAUUUUAUUGCUAAAAGAUGUUAACGAUAAUCUAAGUCUUCAGUGAGUCUUUGUUGCUGGAAGACAGUCUUGCCUCACUGUUGAUGGCUGCUGAAUGAUCGGUGUGGUGGUUGCUGAAGGUUAGUGUGGCUCUAGAGAUUUCUUUAAAUGAGACAACAAGGAAGGCUGCAACAUCAACUGACUCUUCCUUUCCGAAAGAUUUAUCUGUAGCAUGUGUUGCUGUUGGAUAGCCUUUUACCCACAGUGGAACAUUCUUCAAAAUUGAAGUCAAUCCUCUCAAACUCUGCUGCUGUUUUAUCAACUAAGUUUAUGUAAUAUUCUAAGUCCUUUGUUGUCAUUUCAACAAUGGUCACAGGAUCUUCACCAGGAGUAGUUUCCAUCUCAAGAAACCACUUUUGUGGCUCUUAUAUUAGAAGCAACUCCUCAUUUGUUCACGUUUUAUCAUGAGAUUGCAGCAAUUCAGUCACAUAUGCAGGUUCCACUUCUAAGUCUAGUUAUCUUGCUAUUUCCACCACAUCUGCAGUUACUUCGUCCACUGAAGUCUUGAACCCCUCAAGAUCAUCCAUCAGGGUUGAGGUCAAUGUCUUCUGAACUCCUGUUAAUGUUGAUAUUUUGACCUUCUCCCAUGAAUCACAAAUGUCCUUAAUGGCAUCUAGAAUGAUGAAUCCUUUCCAGAAGGUUUUCAAGUUACUUUGUACAGAACAACCACUAUGGCAGCCACAGCCUUACAAAAUGUAUUCCUUAAAUAAUACUUGAAAGUCAAAAUUACUCCUUGACCCAUGGAGUAAUGGAUCCUGCAGAAUGGAUGUUGUUUAGCAGACAUAAAAACAUUAAUCUCUUUGUACAUCUCCAUCAGAACUCUUGGGUGACCAGACACAUUAUCAACGAGCAGUAAUAUUUGGAACUAAAUUUUUUUUUUUUUUGAGACAGUCUCACUCUGUUACCCAGGCUGAAGCACAGUGCAAGAUUCCAUCUUAAAAAAUAAUAAUAAUACUAUUACAGUCUGGGGGUUU
rnacentral:lncRNA from 1 species